GCCUUCGUGGUGUAGUGGUCAGCACGCUCGGCGCGUAACCUUGAGUUCCGUGGUUCGAUUCCCGGCGAAGGCG
rnacentral:tRNA from 1 species